rnacentral:rRNA from 1 species
AGCAGCCGCGGUAAUUCCAGCUCCAAUAGCGUAUAUUAAAGUUGUUGCAGUUAAAAAGCUCGUAGUUGAAUUUCGGGGUUAGUAGGUUGGUCAUGCCUCUGGUAUGUACUGGUCUCACUGAUUCCUCCUUCCUGAUGAGCCGUAAUGCCAUUAAUUUGGUGUUGCGGGGAAUCUGGACUGUUACUUUGAAAAAAUUAGAGUGUUUAAAGCAGGCUAACGCUUGAAUACAUUAGCAUGGAAUAAUGAAAUAGGACGAUCGAUCCUAUUUUGUUGGUUUCUAGGAUUGACGUAAUGAUUAAUAGGGAUAGUUGGGGGCAUUAGUAUUCAAUUGUCAGAGGUGAAAUUCUUGGAUUUAUUGAAGACUAACUACUGCGAAAGCAUUUGCCAAGGAUGUUUUCACUAAUCAAGAACGAAAGUUAGGGGAUCGAAGACGAUCAGAUACCGUCGUAGUCUUAGCCAUAAACUAUGCCGACUAGGGAUCGGAUGAUGUUAAUUUUUAAUGACUCAUUC